AUUGAACGCUGGCGGUAUGCUUAACACAUGCAAGUCGAACGGCAGCAUGGUCUAGCUUGCUAGACUGAUGGCGAGUGGCGGACGGGUGAGUAACGCGUAGGAAUAUGCCUUGAAGAGUGGGACAACUUGGGGAAACUCAAGCUAAUACCGCAUGUACUCGAGAGCGUAAAGCUGGGGACCUUUAGGCCUGGCGCUUUAAGAUUAGCCUGCGUUCGAUUAGCUAGUUGGUAGGGUAAAGGCAUAACAAGGCGACGAUCGGUAGAUGGGCGGAGAGGAUGAUCAGCCACACUGGAACUGAGAGACGGGGCAGACUCCUAAGGGAGGCAGCAGUGGGGAAUAUUGGACAAUGGGGGGAACCCUGAUCCAGGAAUGCCGCGUGUGGGAAGAAGGCCUGAGGGUUGUAAAGCACGUUCAGUGGGGAGGAGGUUUGGAAGGUUAAGAGCUAUUCAAAUGGACGUUACCCACAGAAGAAGCACCGGCUAACUCCGUGCCAGCCGCCGCCGUAA
rnacentral:rRNA from 1 species